AAUUGGCCCAAGAAAGAAAAUCAUUCUAAAAUUUGACAGAUGUCUAAGUGAUGACAGUGAGCACUGUAUCUUCAGAGACAGAGGUGCAUAGGGUCUUCUUAUCUGAAGGGGAGGCUCAGCCUAGGACUCCAGCACAUGACCUCACUUCCUUGGUGACAGGUCCAAACAGACCUUGGAACCCUGUCACCAGGCACCACGGUCUAGCGCCAACUGCCCUCCCAGUCACUUGGCUGGAAAUAGGCAGCAGCGAACAUGCUGUGCUGCUUUCCCAGGCCUCCAGGCCGCAGCCUCGGACCCCACGCAGGGAAACCACUUGCCAACGAGUGAGAGGAUGGUUCACUCGGCCCAGAAGCUUCAGGACCCUCAUCAGGAACCACCCAACAGUCACGGGCAGCCCAGGGCAGGUCUCACCAGACCCAGCCCCCAGAUGCCCAGAGACGAGAGAGAGCCCAGGGCAGGUGUCCCGAGGCCUGACUUUCAUCUGCUCAGAGGCACCGAAUCCACUACAGGUCUAUGUAGACCUGGACACCACUAUGGGAAAUCAGUAUUCCCAGAGCCUGGCAGAGGGCUGCACAGCGAGCAAGGUGCAGGCAAAUGCACUGCACACCCUGACAGAGGCCCCAGAACAGGACUUCCUGGAUAGGAAGAGCAGGUCCACCUCUUCUGUCCUUGACUCCUCACUGGAGCUCAACCCCCAGGUGGAUUCCCUGGGUGAGUUUCUCCUGGACCAGCUGGAGCCUCCUGAACCCCCUGAGGCAGAGCCCCAGGAGGACUGUGUGCCAGCUCCAGCCUCCGAUGAAGUCCCACCUGCUGACCUCCUGCCCACUCCACCUGCAGCUCCCUCACCAGCUCUGGCCCCACAACGAGAGCCAACACCUGGAACCUCUUCACCAGCUGCAGAGCUGGAACUCCUGGUGGCUCAACAGCAGAUCUCAUCUCUUGAACUCUACAGGGAGGUCUACAGAGCUCUUGACCCACACCCGCCAUUCCCCUCUCUUACUGAUUUACUUAUUAUUGUAUUUAUUGCUACCCUUAUUUCUCAGAGAUAAGUCAAUGAUAGAAUUAAUGUAAAUAAAAUUUAAGAUUUUUGUCUUGUUUAAAAUGAUCAGCUCACUGCAUUCUCAGUCAUUUGCAAUGUUGUGCAACCUUCACCACUGUCCCAUUCUACAAC
ensembl:lncRNA